UGAGAAUUCACUGAUUCAAACACGCUCAAUUUGCCGCCGGGCGAUGCUUCCUCUCCCCGCAUCGAAAUUGAGUGGUCAAACUGAGGCGCGGGGAGUCAUUUGCUUGUCGAAAAUCGGAGUGUCAAUACUUAUUAAUUUGUGUGAAGUGUGUAACCUGUUAUAGCAGCGUUAUAUUUCCACAUUCCAAUUCUGUAACCUUUAUUCACUACUAUUAGAUAUUGGUUAAUGGCGGGAAAGAUCCCUAUUCUGUAAGAAUU